rnacentral:misc_RNA from 1 species
UCUCCGUAGGUGAACCAGCGGAGGGAUCAUUACAGAGUUGCAAAUCUCACAGACCCUCGUGAACGUUACCUAUCUCGUUGCUUAGGCAUGCGACCCGUGCCCCGCGCGCGGCUCCCCCCGGCCCCCCGUGGGUGCCCGCCGGAGCAAAACCAAACCCCUGAAUUGCAUGGCCCCUCUGCUUCUUCUGUUCUGAAUAAGUCAAAAAUUUCAACAACGGAUCCCUUCGCUCUGGCAUCGAAGACAACCGCAGCAAAUCGGAAACGCACACACCUGAACCAC